UACUAGAGUAGCACUCGCAUAUCAAUAAGCGGAGGAAAAGAAACUAACAAGGAUUCCCCUAGUAACGGCGAGUGAAGCGGGAAGAGCUCAAAUUUGAAAUCUUAAAGGGUUUCCCUUUACGAAUUGUAGUUUAAAGAAGUGUUUUCUGUUGAGGUUUUGGUAAAAGUUCUUUGGAAUAGGACAUCAUAGAGGGUGAGAAUCCCGUAUUUGACCUUUACUUUCAACUUUGUGAUACACUUUCAAAGAGUCGGAUUGUUUGGGAAUGCAGUCCAAAAUGGGUGGUAAAUUUCAUCUAAAGCUAAAUAUUGGCGAGAGACCGAUAGCGAACAAGUACCGUGAGGGAAAGAUGAAAAGAACUUUGAAAAGAGAGUUAAACAGUACGUGAAAUUGUCAAAAGGGAAGCGUUUGACACCAGUGUUGUUCUUCUGAAAAUCAAUUAAAGAACUGUUUAUGCUAAGUUGUUUAGACUUUAUCAGCUAUCUGCUUAGUUUUGAGCUUUUCUUUAAUGCACUUUUCAGUUAACAAGUCAACAUCAAUUUCUUUUGCUGUAAAAAAGCUUGAGGAAGGUGGCUUGAGAUUCGUCUUAAGUGUUUAUAGCCUCUUGCCUAUGCAGUCGGAGAGAUUGAGGUCUGCAGCGUAGAUCCUUCGGGGCUAAAUGCAUUUGUGCUAAGUUAUAGCAUUUUAUAGACAACUUGUUGACUAUGAUUUGUCUUGUAGCUUACUCGCUUAUGUUAUUUUACCUACGCUUAGGAUGUUGAACUCUAUCACACACAG
rnacentral:rRNA from 1 species